rnacentral:snoRNA from 1 species
AAGCCGUGAUGUAGACGUUUGUUUAGCAACUCCUUGAACCGCUCCCAAGUCUCGUAGAAAGACUCCCCCUUUUUCUGAUGGUAGGAGUGAAUCAUGAUCCU